rnacentral:tRNA from 1 species
GAGGCAUUAGUUUAGUGGUAAAACUUCGAUCUGUGGCAUCGACAUCACCGGUUCAACUCCGGUAUGCCUCC